GGGAUUUUGCGCANGGGGGAACCCUGNCGCACAACGCCGCGUGGAGGAUGAAAUCCCUUGGGAUGUAAACUCCUUUCGAUAGGGAAGAUAAUGACGGUACCUAUAGAAGAAGCCCCGGCUAACUUCGUGCCAGCAGCCGCGGUAAUACGAGGGGGGCAAGCGUUGUUCGGAUUUAUUGGGCGUAAAGGGUGCNGUAGGCGGUUUGGCAAGUCUUGUGUGAAAUCUUUGGGCUCAACCCAAAGUCUGCAUAAGAAACUGCCGGGCUUGAGUAUGGGAUAGGCGAGUGGAAUUGCAGGUGUAGCGGUGAAAUGCGUAGAUAUCUGCAGGAACAUCCGAGGCGAAAGCGGCUCGCUGGAUCACAACUGACGCUGAGAGACGAAAGCUAGGGGAGCAAACAGGAUUAGAUACCCUGGUAGUCCUAGCCCUAAACGAUCAGGACUUGGCGUGAGCCCUGUACGGGGCUCGUGCCGUAGCUAACGCGAUAAGUCCUGCGCCUGGGGAGUACGGUCGCAAGGCUGAAACUCAAAAAAAUUGACGGA
rnacentral:rRNA from 1 species